rnacentral:misc_RNA from 1 species
GCUUUAGGUUCUGAAAGCGUCCUUAUAGAACCACAAGUAGUAGGUGUUAUUGCAUUAAGUUGUGACGUCAAUCAAAAUUGUCACGUUUAUUUGUUAGAAGAUGGCUUGCGAUUACGGUUAGCUUUACUGCAAAAUGCAGCUGCACCAACAUUGGCUAUAACGGAACUGACUAAAAAUUUGCCUGCUGUAUUAGAAAGAGACGAAAGCAGGAGGGGGGCAGCGUUCUGAAAUGCCGACUUGCGGGCGUGUGUGACAUUUUGAUGUAGAGUGUCUUUGAU